rnacentral:misc_RNA from 1 species
AUUCUCCUACUGCAUUGCCCGAGCCUCAGGUGCAGACACGGUCGUUGCAGUCGGCACCUCCAAGUUUUAGAACUAGAGUAAAACCUGUACAGUCAAAUAAUAGAGUUACGAGCAGUAGGGCACGGGCACUCUCUGCUCCGUCUAGCCUGGACACCGCAGAACAAGAUGCGCUAGCAUCAAAUGAAUGUGAGGAACAUGAUGAGUUCAGGAGUCGUAUUGGUUUAAUCAAGGAAUACCAAUCACCAAGUCCUCAGCCUCUUCCUCUUCCAUCUCCACAGAGUGCUGCUGCCACUCUCAAGACUAUGGGAAGCUUUAAAGUUGGUAAUGCCAGCGGUCCUUUAAAUGCCUCUGGACCCCUGCCACUGCCUCUUACACUGCCUUCAACACUGCCUUCUACUGGAGCACUCAGGAACUUCUCAUUUGAAGAACUUGCUGCUGCCUGCCACCGCUUCUCUCCUGAGCGAUGUAUGUCAGAAGGUCUCUCUUCUGUUA